GAUGAACGCUGGCGGCGUGCUUAACACAUGCAAGUCGAACGGAAAGGCCAGUGCUUGCACUGGUACUCGAGUGGCGAACGGGUGAGUAACACGUGGGUGAUCUGCCCUGCACUUCGGGAUAAGCCUGGGAAACUGGGUCUAAUACCGGAUAGGACCACAUUUUGGAUGGUGUGGUGGAAAGUUUUUCGGUGUGGGAUGAGCUCGCGGCCUAUCAGCUUGUUGGUGGGGUAAUGGCCUACCAAGGCGUCGACGGGUAGCCGGCCUGAGAGGGUGUACGGCCACAUUGGGACUGAGAUACGGCCCAG
rnacentral:rRNA from 2 species